ACCAAAUACCCCAUUCCAUAACACAUAAAUAUAACUUUAUUAAAAAAGCGUUAUACUAUCUAAUGUAAAAAUAAAAGCGGUAAAUGAUGAAUAGUAAAAAAAAAGGCGGGUUAGGAAAUUGUUAUACUUUCCUUUUCCCUCUCUUCCCGUUCUAUUCUCUAGACCUAAACCCAAAGCUCUCAUUUUUUUCCUCUAAUCUAAAAACCCUGUCUCUAAGCCGGUCUCCUCACUCACCCUUCCCCGAUCCCUAUCCUUCUCUCUCUCUCUCUCCCCUGCUCCCUCAACUACGACGGCGAGGGGAUAGACGAGGCUUCAACCAUGGUGGAGGUCGACGGGGCUGACAGAGGCUCAGCGGGACUGCCGAAGGCUCGACGACGUGGACUCGGAGACUCGUUGGUGCAGGUAAAGAUCUCUCUCUCCCUCGUUCUGUUGGUGGGUGAUUUUUUGGGUUAUAUACUUCGUGGGUUUAUUAAUUUUUUGUUCUUCAUUGUUUUAUUUCAAUUAUUGUACUUUGUUUGUUUGAUGUUCUUCUUCUUCUUCUUCUUUUUUCACUGUUGAGGUAACGAAGUAUAUAUAUCAUGGGGCUUAAUUUUCUUCCUUAAUCUUGCUUCAUUACCAUGAUUUGUUUUAUGUUGUGUUUGCUUAAUUUUUUUUGGUGCUACAACAUUGCUAUUAUCAGUAUUCCCUUUAAAAUUUCAGCCAACCGAACUGAACAAUUGUUGUGGUUAGAAUGCAUCAAGAUAUUGAUUUUAAAUCUUAUAUCUACAGAUAUGUAUUGUGUUUGUUUGUUUUUGGACAGAAAAGUGAAUUAUUGGAUUUCUUUUUUUUUUUGCUUUGAUCUCUUAUUGUUCUUGAUAUUAUAAUAUUCCUUUUCUUGCUCUCUUUGGCUAUUCAAAGUAUGAGAAAAUGAAAACUUGGGUUUCAUUUCUUUGUUGUUUGUUUUUGGUAAGAAAUGAAAAUUCAGUGACUGAGGUGAUACUUUAAUUGCUCCCUGAUCCUUUGAAGUAAUGACUUAUUUAUUAUUUUUUAUUUUUUGAAGACAAAAGAAUUGGAAGCCGAGCUGGUGAAUGUAACAGGGGCAGCUAGGCCAUGUCGCAAAAUAAGGUCUGAGCAAGACAAGGAGCCAGAAAAGGAGGUUGUAUCUGAAGUUGUGGGUGCUGG